rnacentral:lncRNA from 1 species
GAUGGAGUCUCACUCUGUUGCCCAGGCUGGGGUGCAAUGGUGCAAUCUCAGCUCGCUGCAACCUGCUUCCUGGGUUCAAGCGAUUCUCCUGCCUCAGCCUCCUGAGCAGCUGGGAUUACAGGCACCUGCCACCACGCCCAACUGAUUUUGUAUUUUUAGUAGAGAUGGAGUUUCACCAUGUUGGCCAGGCAGGUCUCAAACUCCUGACCUCAAGUGAUUCACCUGUCUCAGCCUCCCAAAGUGCUGGGAUUACAGGCGUGAGCCACUGUGCCUGGCUAGUUACUUGAAUUUGUGAACCUAAACUUCCAGUUUAGGAUUUGUUUCCCUCAGCCCUGAUGAUCAGCUCUCACUUUACCGCUGCUUUUUAACUUUUCUAAUUUUGCUGUUACUUUUUUCUCCAUCUUUGGGGAAUUUAUACUUUUGUUAUUGGAGAGAUUUUAAAAUAUUUGUAUUACCAUUCCUCAAAUCUCAGACCAUCCUUUUGGGAUAAUUUUCCUCCACCCUGAACUACAUCCUUUAGAAAUUUUCAGUGUCAUUAUCUUGGUAUUAAGAUUCUUCAGUUUCUGUUAAUCUGAAAAUGUCUGCAUUUUGCCCUCAUUCUUGAAAGAUGUUGCUGAGUUCUCAGCCCUGGGUUGACAGUUAAUUUCUCUCAACAUUUCAAAAGUAUUAUCUAACUGCCUUCUGACUCCCUUUGGGCAGUUAGGAAGUAGCUGUCAUUCAACAGAUGUUCCUUUGUAAGCAAUCUGUACAUUCCUUUGGGUCCUUUGAAGCUUUUUUCUUUGUGUUUAGUGUUCACCAGUUUCAAUAUACUGUGCAUGGGCAGCGACUGCUUUCGUUUCUCCUCUUUGGAAUAUAUUGUGCUUUCUGUUUCUGGAGAUAGCUUUUAAUUUUAACCAGUGCUGUAAAUUUGCACUAUUUUCUCUUUAAACAUUGUCUCUUCUCCACUCUCCCUAUUAUCUCCCUUAGAGUCUCUGAUUUAAAACAUUUUAGAACUUUCCAUCUUGUCUUCCAUAUCUUUGUGAAAUUUCCCAUUUCCUGUCUCUCUGUGCUGCAUUCUGCCUGAUACCUUCAGCUAGAUCUUCCAGUUCACUAAUUCUUCGUUCAGCUAUGCUAAUUAGCUCUCCAACUCUCUGACUAAGGCUUCCUCGUUUUAUAAUUUUUCCUUUCCAAAUGUAUCUGUUUCUAAUCCCCCUUGUUGGUUGUUCAUUUUUGUUCUAUUUUAUAUUACAUUUCUGACAAGUUAAUUAUCUGAGAGCUUGGGUGUCUGAAUCUGUUCCCUUUUUUUUUUUUUUUUCCCCCUGGCUUUCAAUUAUAGCGACUUGUUUUCUUGUUUAUUU